GGCCCCAUCGUCUAACGGUUAGGACUCGAGAUUUUCAUUCUCGCAAUCGGAGUUCGAUUCUCCGUGGGGUCACAA
rnacentral:tRNA from 1 species